GGCACCACGGCACGAGCCCUGCACUGUCCAGUGCAAGGGGAGCGACGCGAAGAUCAGUCGACGGCGCUGCCGCCACCACCACCGCCGUAGACACACUCUCAUCCUACGGGCUACGCCUGGGCCUUGCUGCCAGGAAGCUUCGGCCCCGCAGCUCGGCUUGCUGCGGUCUUAGGUUUCUUUACCUCCAGAAAGAAGAAUAUUGACCCCUUGAAUUCUGGAAGUUCAUUGAAGAAUCGGAAAUUAGGGACUUAUUUCAAAUUUGGACAUGGCUAAUCGAGGUGCAACAAGACCCAACGGGCCAAAUACUGGAAAUAAAAUAUGCCAGUUCAAACUAGUACUUCUGGGAGAGUGUACUGUUGGCAAAUCAAGCCUAGUGCUUCGUUUUGUGAAAGGCCAAUUUCAUGAAUUUCAAGAGAGUACCAUUGGGGCUGCUUUUCUAACCCAAACUGUAUGUCUUGAUGACACUACAGUAAAGUUUGAAAUAUGGGAUACAGCUGGUCAAGAACGAUAUCAUAGCCUAGCACCAAUGUACUACAGAGGAGCACAAGCAGUCAUAGUUGUAUAUGAUAUCACAAAUGAGGAGUCCUUUGCAAGAGCAAAAAAUUGGGUUAAAGAACUUCAGAGGCAAGCAAGUCCUAACACUGUAAUAGCUUUAGCAGGAAACAAGGCCAACCUAGCAAAAGAGCAGUAAAUUUCCAGGAAGCACAGUCCUUUGCAGAUGACAAUAGUUUAUUAUUCAUGGAGACAUCAGCUAAAAUAUCAAUGGAUGUAAGUGAAAUAUUCAUGGCAAUAGCUAAAAAAUUGCCAAAGGAUGAACCACAAAAUCCAGGAGCAAAUUCUGCCAGAGGAAGAGGAGUAGACCUCACUGAACCCACACGACCAACCAGGAGUCAGUGUUGUAGUAACUAAACCUCUAGUUUGAACUAGCUGGAAGAGUCUUCUGCUUCCUAAAUGUUAAUGACAAUGGAAUUGGAGCAUUUAACCAGCCCAGUAUGACUUCCAAAAGAAGAGACUUAUGAUAGAGUCAAGUUUCUAAUACACAAUUAUUUUAAGUGUUUUGAACUUUAAUAACAUGCAUGGGUCCUUCUCACUGAUGUUUCAACAGUAGGGAAAAAAAGAACUAUGCAGACACUUGUUUCAAUGGAAGGUUAGGGGGAAUAAUUUCUCAUCACUAGGAAUAUAGACAAAUGACUGUCUGGACCCACACAGUUAACCAGCCCAUUUCUCCACACUGGUACAGUAGUCACCUGUGAAAAAAAAUUUGGAACUUACUAAUUUGGGCUUUUCAAAAACAUCCAUUUUUUAGAAGGAGAUUCUAAAGUUAUUUAUGAUGCUUAGCCGUAGUAUUCAGGCAAAUGUUCAUUUCUCCUGGUAUCUGUAUUUAAAAUGUACAUUCCACAUUUUAAUAAAUUAACCACAAGAAAAUAAUCACACAUAUACAAGGUGGGGGGGUGGGGAAGAGUAUUAAUGGUAUCAAUUAUAGCCAGUCCCGUUUUUUUUUUUUUUAAAUGGGGUAAAAAUCAAAUGCAAUCCCAUCUUGUUUUAAGAAUUUGAGAACUAAUAAAUGCACCUUAAUGGAUAGUGUUCCUUUCAA